GACGAACGCUGGCGGCGUGCUUAACACAUGCAAGUCGAGCGAGGGGCUCCCUUCGGGGAGUCACCUAGCGGCGAACGGGUGAGUAACACGUGGGCAACCUGCCCUCAGCUCUGGGAUAACCCCCGGAAACGGGAGCUAAUACCGGAUAUGACCUCUUAAGACAUCUUUUGAGGUGGAAAGAAUUUCGGCUGAGGAUGGGCCCGCGGCCUAUCAGCUUGUUGGUGGGGUAAUGGCCUACCAAGGCGACGACGGGUAGCCGGCCUGAGAGGGCGACCGGCCACACUGGGACUGAGACACGGCCCAGACUCCUACGGGAGGCAGCAGUGGGGAAUAUUGCGCAAUGGGCGAAAGCCUGACGCAGCGACGCCGCGUGAGGGAUGAAGGCCUUCGGUUGUAA
rnacentral:rRNA from 1 species